rnacentral:rRNA from 1 species
UACAGAGGGUGCAAGCGUUUGUUCGGAAUUAUUGGGCGUAAAGCGCGUGUAGGCGGCUUAGCAAGUCGGGCGUGAAAGCCCUCGGCUCAACCGAGGAAGUGCACCCGAAACUGCUGAGCUUGAGUGCCGGAGAGGAUGGCGGAAUUCCCCAAGUAGAGGUGAAAUUCGUAGAUAUGGGGAGGAACACCGGUGGCGAAGGCGGCCAUCUGGACGGUAACUGACGCUGAGACGCGAAAGCGUGGGGAGCAAACAGG